rnacentral:rRNA from 1 species
CCCUUAGAUGUCCUGGGCCGCACGCGCGCUAAACUGAGUGUCUGAGAUACGAGUCUGCCUGGUCCGGCAAGGUCUAGGUAAUCGCUAAAAGACACAUCAUGCUUGGGAUAGAUUAUUGCAAAUAUUAAUCUUGAACGAGGAAUUCCUAGUAAGCGCAAGUCAACAGCUUGCGUUGAUUACGUCCCUGCCCUUUGUACACACCGCCCGUCGCUACUACUGAUUGGAUGUUUAAGCGAGGUUCUCGAACUGCUAGCGACUUAGCUUCGGUGAGGUCGCAGUGUGGGAAGUGAACCUAGCUUUGGUGUCUAGAGGAAGUAAAAGUCGUAACA